CAGGGACAUCUGCAGGGGACCCAGCUCAGCAGGCCUCCCGGAGGACUUCUGAUGGGCCAGUCCACCUUACGAUCAGGCUGCAGCCAUCCCAGGGCAGUGCCAGCCACAACCAUCUCCCUCCCGGCAGCUGUGUUCAGGCCUAGCUGAUUGGGAGGGCCCAUUGGCAGCACAGGGCUGCCGGGGGGCGUGGCUGUAGAGCCUAAAAGGCCCCGCCCUGCAGGCCUGCUCCAGCUCUCUCUGUUGCCUGGGGCAGGCUCUCAGGAGCAGCUCCGAGAGUGUGGAGGGAAGAGAAACGAGUUAAGGAAGGAGACAGGGCUCAGGUCAUGAAAGGGAAGUCUCCAGAACAGGGAGAGAGUCCACAGUGGUGUGUCACAAGCACCAAUCCUUGGACCAUUGGGGAAACGGCUUUGCCUGUGAGGAAUAUGUAAGUGAGAAACAACGUUCAGAACCUUCCCUGCUCACCUGAAUGCAUUCAGUGACCGCUCGUUCAGUUCGUCACCCAUCGUUCUUUCAUCUCACAAUCCUCAUUGGGCAGUCCCCCGGCCAGGUGGUGUGCUUGUCACGGUGGACUCAGGACAUGCAGGUCUCUGAAGGUGCCAAAGAGCCUGCAGUCACGCCAGUGGUGGAGCACUCACUGAAAUCGUUUGAUCGCGUUUCACUACACCAUUGCAUCUGUAAUGGAAACUGUGAAAGGAAACCCUCCGCAGACAGCUGUAAUCAUCCUCGGUUACCUUGGAUUUGUUUGUUAUUGUUUUUUGUUCCUUCCAUAAAUUGUGCAAUGCCUCUUAUCAGGCAAGGAUUAGCUAAUGGGCGUAUUGUUUUAUCUCACUGAAUAAUAGUGGGAGUUAGAAAAAAGGGAAAUGUUCCCCGACCUUCCCCCACUGUCUAGGCAUCAGCCUUUCUGAAUGUGAAGGAGCACAAGCCUGCACUCCUAAAAGGUACCUGACACAUAUUAACAGUUUUCUUUUUUUUUUCAGAUAGGAU
rnacentral:lncRNA from 1 species